UUUGAAGAUAUAAGCAUGAACCAGUGUGAUCUAAAAUGGCGUUAACUUCUCUUCUUGCGUUGUUCACUGUGAUGUUUAUCAGUCAUCUGAGCUCCAACACAGUAUCCAGUGACACAAUCCAACCAACACCAAUAACUGUUCAGAAAGGACAUUCUGUUCAUCUUACUAUACAAAAACGUGCAGAUGAGAUCCCACAAUCUGAUGAUUUGGAAUGGCUAAAAGACAGUUUACUUAUUGUAGUCUCAUAUAAUUUUAAAACAGUAAAGAUUCACCCUUCCUAUAAGGAGAGAGUGGAUUUUAAUAAUGGAAACUACUCUCUAACACUUAAGAACAUACAGAAGGAAGACAGUGGACUCUACACUGCUAGAGCAAGUGGAGAAUCAGAUAUCAUCAUUGGGCAAUACAAUGUGACUGUUGAUACAAGAAGUCAUGGAACCACCGGAUCUGUUUCUCUCACUUGGUUCAUAUUCCUUGUCCUUUUGGGGGCAUUAAUUUGAGGCAACUACUGUACUGGAGCUACAGACAAAAAAUAAAAAAUAAAACUAUUUUUUUUUCUUUACAGUUAUCAUUAAACUUCUUCAUUGCAUGCACACCCUUAUGAAAAAAAAGUUUAUUCAUGUGUGCUAUUAGUAUACUUCUUUAAAAAAAUAAUAACAAUAAUUUCAAUUUUCAUAGUCAUGAAAAUAAAGAAAACUCUUUGAAUGAGAAGGUGUGUCCAAACUUUUGGUCUGUACUGUAUACUAGUGGUAUAGCAUGGAACAAAUUACCAGUUUCAAUAAAGGGAGUAAAAGAUUUGAGUUUAAAAGAUUGGUAAAAAGAUGGCUGUUUGGAGAGGGUAGUAAGUGUGUUUUGUGGUGAUUUUAUUGUAAAUUGUGUCAUUUAGGGGUGUGUUUAUUGUCAGUUGUGAUUAGUAUUUUUGAUGAAUUAUCCCUACUAUAUUGAUAAAAAUUAGAUUUUUAUAAAUGUGAUUAAUUAUGAUUAGGAGAUACUGUUGCUCUGUCCAUUCUGCAUGUACACAUAACCUUUAUAUUAACACCGAGGGCCGCAAUGGAAAUAAGCCAAGGUCUUUAUUGUGUUUUUAUCCUCGACAGUUUUUCUAAAGUGUAUGGAAUACAUGUAUUUUGUACAGUUUUAUAAGCAUGUCAAAUAAAUUUCAAUUCAAUUCAACAAG